GAGUUUGAUCGUGGCUCAGAGUGAACGCUGGCGGUAGGCCUAACACAUGCAAGUCGAACGGUAACAGGUCUUUCGGGAUGCUGACGAGUGGCGGACGGGUGAGGAAUACAUCGGAAUCUGCUCAGUCGUGGGGGAUAACGCAUGGAAACGUGCGCUAAUACCGCAUACGACCUUCGGGUGAAAGCAGGGGAAUCUCUCGGGAUCCUUGCGCGAUUGAAUGAGCCGAUGUCGGAUUAGCUAGUUGGUAGGGUAAAAGCCAACCAAGGCCACGAUCCGUAGCUGGUCUGAGAGGAUGAUCAGCCACACUUGGACUGAGACACGGCCCAGACUCCUGCGGGAGGCAGCAGUGGGGAAUAUUGGACAAUGGGGGCAACCCUGAUCCAGCCAUACCGCGUGGGUGAAGAAGGCCUUCUGGGUUGUAAAGCCCUUUUGUUGGGGAAGAAAAACAACGGGUUAAUACCCCGUUGGUAUGACGGUACCCAAAGAAUAAGCACCGGCUAACUUCGUGCCAGCAGCCGCGGUAAUACGAAGGAUGCAAGCGUUACUCGGAAUUACUGGGCGUAAAGGGUGCGUAGGUGGUUGCGCCAGUCUGUCGUGAAAGCCCUGGGCUUAACCUGGGAAUGGCGAUGGAAACUGUGCAACUAGAGUGUGACAGAGGGUGGUGGAAUUCCUGGUGUAGCAGUGAAAUGCGUAGAGAUCAGGAGGAACAUUCGUGGCGAAGGCGGCCACCUGGGUCAACACUGACACUGAGGCACGAAAGCGUGGGGAGCAAACAGGAUUAGAUACCCUGGUAGUCCACGCCCUAAACGAUGCGAACUGGAUGUUGGGUCCAACUUGGGAUUCAGUAUCGAAGCUAACGCGUUAAGUUCGCCGCCUGGGGAGUACGGUCGCAAGACUGAAACUCAAAGGAAUUGACGGGGGCCCGCACAAGCGGUGGAGUAUGUGGUUUAAUUCGAUGCAACGCGCAGAACCUUACCUGGCCUUGACAUG
rnacentral:rRNA from 1 species